GUUCAUUAAUAAGACCUUUUCGUAAACAAACGCUGAAUAAGCUCUUCUCUGAUCCACAGUUCGGUCUGAGAGCAGUCACUGUUGGGGUCAGUGCCUUGAUGAACUGCUUGACGACUUGACCUUCACUCAUCUUGACCACCGCUAUUCAGACUCCUCUCCAACCACCCUGGUCAGACAGACUUCCACGCACAGAGACAUUCACCAGCAAACAUCGAUGACAUUCACUCUUCUCUGAGAGGCAGGUCUGUUACCGCCGGUACAGGUGGCGUCCCACUGCGGAGAGCCAGGCCGUUCCUCAACUGUUUCUAUUCAGGAAACGAGGUUUACUGCCUAAACAUCACGGUGGCCGAAUCUCAGAUGAAGCUUCUGACACAUCGGAUGCAUGAAGGGUUACAAGAAGAGCGUAGUGAGUCUGAGGUCAUCUGAACCAUAACAAACCAAAAAAUUAUAUGUAUUUAAGUAUAUGCUCGAUGGCCUGAAUGGUAAACGCUGAAGUCGAAGGUGUCCGGAUAGACCCUAAAGCCAUAGAAGUGGCGCUGAAGCCAAAUAAUUCAAGAACUGUAGA